UCCCUGGUGGUCCAAUGGCUAAGACUCUGCCCUCCUGAUGCAGUGGGCCCAGGUUCGAUCCCUGGACAGGGAA
rfam:Ovis aries breed Texel chromosome 3, whole genome shotgun sequence.